GGUAAAAUCAUUAUAUGCUUUUAGGGAGGUAUUUCGAAUUGUCAGGGUUUCAUACUUAAAAGUUCAAAGGCAAAUCUCGUGCAUCUUUCAUAUAAAUACUGAAUACUUCAACUAGUUAAUUUUAUUACUGCAAUUGACAUACGUUUGAAUAUGAGCAAAAGAAAAACUCUUAUUUUACCAAUGCAACACUACAGGGCCCAGUUGCAUCCUAAAUAUAAAUAAAGAAGACGUGAUAUGAGUGCCAAUGACACAACUGUCCACAACAGACCGGAAAUAAAAUCACUAAUAAAAUAUGUUAUCUAUAUUUAAACG
rnacentral:lncRNA from 1 species